rnacentral:rRNA from 1 species
AUUGAACGCUGGCGGCAUGCUUUACACAUGCCAGCCGAACGGCAGCGCGGGCUUCGGCCUGGCGGCGAGUGGCGAACGGGUGAGUAAUACAUCGGAACGUGCCCAGUAGUGGGGGAUAGCUCGGCGAAAGCCGGAUUAAUACCGCAUACGACCUGAGGGUGAAAGCGGGGGAUCUUCGGACCUCGCGCUAUUGGAGCGGCCGAUGGCAGAUUAGCUAGUUGGUGGGGUAAAGGCCUACCAAGGCGACGAUCUGUAGCUGGUCUGAGAGGACGACCAGCCACACUGGGACUGAGACACGGCCCAGACUCCUACGGGAGGCAGCAGUGGGGAAUUUUGGACAAUGGGCGAAAGCCUGAUCCAGCAAUGCCGCGUGUGUGAUGAAGGCCUUCGGGUUGUAAAGCACUUUUGGCGGGAACGAAAAGGACUGUGCCAAUACCACGGUUCGAUGACGGUACCCGCAGAAUAAGCACCGGCUAACUACGUG